rnacentral:rRNA from 1 species
CUUGGUCAUUUAGAGGAAGUAAAAGUCGUAACAAGGUUUCCGUAGGUGAACCUGCGGAAGGAUCAUUACAUUCAGUAGCUUGCUACUGUUAGGGGGGUCUAUCAGCCUGUAUAGUAUCACUACUGAUGAGCAGCACGACCCUCUGUCUGUACCNUUGUCUUUUGCGCACUCAUGUUUCCUCGGCGGCUAACCCCCGCCGGCUGGACAACACUAUAACCUUUUUAAUUUUCAAUCAGCGUCUGAAAAACUUAAUAAUUACAACUUUCAACAACGGAUCUCUUGGUUCUGGCAUCGAUGAAGAACGCAGCGAAAUGCGAUAAGUAGUGUGAAUUGCAGAAUUCAGUGAAUCAUCGAAUCUUUGAACGCACAUUGCGCCCCUUGGUAUUCCAUGGGGCAUGCCUGUUCGAGCGUCAUUUGUACCCUCAAGCUCUGCUUGGUGUUGGGUGUUUGUCCACUCCGCCGUGUGUGGACUCGCCUUAAAGCAAUUGGCAGCCAGUGUUUUGGUAUUGAAGCGCAGCACAUUUUGCGAGUCAUGCCUGUAAUGCUGGCGUCCAGUAAGCCUUUUUCCACUUUUGACCUCGGAUCAGGUAGGGAUACCCGCUGAACUUAAGCAUAUCAAUAAGCGGAGGA